GGUUCUUUAAUUCCUCCUCACUUUCUGCCAUCAAGGUUGUGUCAUCUGCAUAUCUGAAGUUGUUGAUAUUUCUUCUGGCAAUCUUAAUUCCGGCUAGGGAUUCAUCCAGCCCAGCCUUUCGCAUGAUGAAUUCUGCAUAUAAGUUAACAGCUCUCAGCCAGCUGCUGACCUCCCCGUCCCUAAGGGAGAAGAAACUCGCCCACCUACUUUUCCGACGGCAUCUUUCACCCCUCAGGGUGCAUAUAUAGACACCCCACUUUCCUUUUCAAGAAAGCAUGCUGAUUUACUAGGACAACACCGCCCCCCUCCCCAUCUCUUAACCAUAGAGCUAGCAAUACCUCCCUCUUCCUAGCGAUCACCAGGAAAUACAGCAGCGGAGAGGAGGUGGAAUAGGGGAUUAAAUCUAACUGGGACCUUCCUGUUCCCAGCAGCCCCCUGAGCUGAGCUGAGAGUUGAGCUGGAGUGCAAUCGCUGCCGUGGCUCAGCCUCCUUUCUCUUGCCUCAGGUGGGGGUGGUGUCUGGAAAAUAAAAAUAAAUCAGAACGGGUUACCUUGCUUCCUUCAUCUUCCCAGGGCAACAGUAAGAUUCUGGCUUGAAGGAGGAAAAAGCUCUUUGAGAUGGACUGUGAAGACCCAGGUCGUGUGGAGAUCCACAACUCAGAAGAUGGCGGGAUUGUACGGAGAGUCUACGUAGCUGACAAAGGUGAAGAUGAUCUGGAGCACGAGACUAUGCAAUCCAGCAUUCAGCAUGGACAGUCCAACUGGAAGGCAAAUUCCCAGCAGGAAGGAUCAGCAGUGGAUCGACAGGGGAGCCCGCUAGCCCCUGACAGCUAUGGCGAGGGGGCGGUUGCCGCCGCAGUGGUCUCGCGCUCCACCAAGCAGCGCCCCUUCAUCUGCAACGAGUGCGGCAAGAGUUUCAGCCACUGGUCGAAGCUGCUGCGGCACCAGCGCACGCACACUGGCGAGCGGCCCAGCACCUGCACCGACUGCGGCAAGAGCUUCUCGCAGAACUCGCACCUGGUGCAGCACCGGCGUACACACACCGGCGAAAAGCCGUACGUCUGCCGGGACUGCGGCAAGAGCUUCAGCUGGAGCUCCAAUCUCAUCCAGCACCAGCGCAUACACACGGGAGAGCGCCCUUACACGUGCGGGGACUGCGGGCGCAGCUUCACUCAAAGCAAGAACCUGGCCAAGCACCGGAGGACGCACACGGGUGCCCGGCCGUUCCGCUGCCCCGAGUGCGGGCGGGGCUUUGCGCACACGGCCGGCCUGGUCAAACACCAGCGCCUGCGCCACGACACGGACUCUCCCAUCGGGCACCCUUGCCCGGAAUGCGGGCAGCGCUUCCGGGCACCUUCUGAGGUGGAGCGCCACCGCGUGGCUCACCAUGGCGUCGCCCCCUCGGAGCCCUUCAUUUGCGUGGAGUGCGGAGAGUGUUUCACCAAGAGAACCACGCUCAUCCGCCACAAGAGAGUGCACAAGCCCAUCUUUGUGCGUUGAGGUUUUUCGUUCCCCCCUGCGGGAGAGGAAUUCCAAACGUCGAUGCCCAGGCUUGCGGCCUGAAGACUACAGGUUGGGGUCCGAGGUGACUCUGGACUGCAACCUGGGUGUCGCUUGACCAGGUCAAAGGCCCUGAUGGGGCCAACGUGCAAAAUCCACUGGGUGGUGACGAGGAGGAGGAGGGAAGAAGAGAAGACAGGGCUCAGAGUUUGGACUUCAGGCCCGUGUCGGGAGAGAGACUGGUUGCAGCCCAGAUCUCGAACUGCCUGUGGGGCAGAAUGAAAGCGGAGCACAACUAACUCACCUGCUGAGAAUCUACAGGCCCUGGACCCUCCUCCUGUACAUACAAUAAGUUUGCGAUCGAACAAGGGCAGUUCGAGAGACCAAGCUGCAAAAGAAGAAGCAAAGAAGAGUAAAGAACUUCACCCCAGCCACAGCCGCUCGGAUCAAAAUGGAGCCUCACCAAUUCCAGGGCUUUGCCUGCCCUCAGGCCCCACCUUGCUUCAUUGCGUGCUUCUCCUGGAGUGCCGGCUGGAUUUUCUCCAUCUGUUUCGUCAGGAAAUCAAUCUUCCUCUUGAAGAAAUCUCUGGCGUCGUCCACUGACUGCAACAUCAAAUGCACUUGGUGGAUAUCGUCAAAAUAGCUUUCUAGACAAAGGAUGCUGAGCCAGACCCUUAAACCGCUAAGGAGGCAUAUUCAAAACAAUUUUGAAUUCUCCAAUCUGGUGCCCUUCCAAAUGCUGUGGACUACAACUCCCAUCCGCCCCAGUCAGCAAAGGAUGAUGGGAGCUGUAGUCCAACAACAUACGGGAGACCUGACUUAAACCCUUAACCAGUCUGGCGUGCUCUGAAUCUUUCAUACUCACACCUGCCAUAGAGUCUAUCUCUUUGGAUAUACGAAACCCCUGCUAAGAAAUUUUACUAGUCUUACGGGAACUGUUUGGCCUUCUCUUUCAAAUUUGUCAGACAUAAUGCCCAAAGAGGAACAUUUGUUCCUUUUCAGGUUAGGCCUAUUCCAGUAACAAGUCUAUUCAAGGGCCAUUUCAUAUUUGAUGCCGGAUGGUGUGGUCGCUAUAAAAAACAUGGAUCUAUCUUAAAAUGUUGAAAGGGCCCAUGGCAUCAGCUCCCCAGCAACACAGAGUGAAUCCAUACUAUUGGACCAAUCCACACUGAAAUCCAUUUACCAAUCUUAUAGAGACAGCCAGGAACAACAAUGGGCAGAAUUGAGCAUCUGCUGGGACCAAAAACUGUUGAGAAGCCCAUUUUUGGUCCCCAACUCCAUUCUUCUUACUAAUUCUUCUUACUAUUCUCCGUUUUUCUUACUAAUUCCCAUGGAGGGAAUGUGCUCUUCCAGGCACACUAGCAGCACAAAUCUAUAGGCACAAAAAUUACAUAAGAAAUGAAAGCCUCCUCCUUAACAGAAUUCUAUUUUAAUGAACUGAAUAGAGCCAAAGUUUUAUGAGUCAUUGGAGGUAAGAGAGUGUGUUUCUGUAUGAACUGAAUAAUGCUUAGCUUAUUUUUUUAGGUGUUAUUUUGUUAAUAUUGUUAUAUAGGUUAUAAAUGCCUUACUGAUUUGUUAAUCAUAUAAUAUGACAUAUGCUGUUACUGUGAUUCUUAGCUUAUUUUCUAGUUGGUUUGUUAAUAUUGUAAUUGUUUUGUUAAUGAUACUAUAUGAUUUAUGCUGUAUUUGUGAAGUUCAAUUAUGUCAUUUUUAUUUAUUGUUUGUAAGCCACUUUUGGGGUUCAUUUGAAUGGAAAAGCAGCAGAGAAAUGCAAUCCAUCAAAUCAAAACAAUCAUAUUUGUCAAGAAA